rnacentral:hammerhead_ribozyme from 1 species
AUACAGCUGAUGAGUCCUAAGUAGGACGAAACGCACGUCAUGUAC